rnacentral:ncRNA from 1 species
AGGAGCCGUGUGAGGUGAAAGCCUCAAGCACGGUUUUGGAGACGAAUUACCUUGGUGAUGGAGUGGCUUAGUUUAAC